UAACACUUAGAAAUAGGUGCUAAUACCGCAUAACAACAGAAAGCGCAUGCUUUUUGUUUGAAAACCAAGGUGGUAUGGGAUGGACCCGCGUCUGAUUAGCUGGUUGGCGGGGUAAAGGCCCACCAAGGCGACGAUCAGUAGCCGGCCUGAGAGGGUGGACGGCCACAUUGGGACUGAGACACGGCCCAAACUCCUACGGGAGGCAGCAGUGGGGAAUAUUGCACAAUGGGGGAAACCCUGAUGCAGCGACGCCGCGUGAGUGAAGAAGUAAUUCGUUAUGUAAAGCUCUAUCAGCAGGGAAGAAAAUGACGGUACCUGAGUAAGAAGCCCCGGCUAACUACGUGCCAGCAGCCGCGGUAAUACGUAGGGGGCAAGCGUUAUCCGGAUUUACUGGGUGUAAAGGGAGCGUAGACGGCAGUGCAAGUCUGGAGUGAAAGGCGGGGGCUCAACCCCCGGACUGCUCUGGAAACUGUACGGCUGGAGUGCANGAGAGGUAAGUGGAAUUCCUAGUGUAGCGGUGAAAUGCGUAGAUAUUAGGAGGAACACCAGUGGCGAAGGCGGCUUACUGGACUGUAACUGACGUUGAGGCUCGAAAGCGUGGGAGCAAACAGGAUUNGAUACCCUGGUAGUCCACGCCGUAAACGAUGAUCACUAGGUGU
rnacentral:rRNA from 1 species